rnacentral:lncRNA from 1 species
UGGGAGGAACCUUGCCUUUUUGCACUGGUCAGUCCACCACAUCAAGAUUAGGGCUUAGACUGGAAAGCAGUGACAUGCCACGUGUAGAAUCAGAGUUUCUCAGAACA